rnacentral:rRNA from 1 species
GACGAACGCUGGCGGCGUGCUUAACACAUGCAAGUCGAACGGAAAGGCCCUGCUUUUGUGGGGUGCUCGAGUGGCGAACGGGUGAGUAACACGUGAGUAACCUGCCCUUGACUUUGGGAUAACUUCAGGAAACUGGGGCUAAUACCGGAUAGGAGCUCCUGCUGCAUGGUGGGGGUUGGAAAGUUUCGGCGGUUGGGGUUGGACUCGCGGCUUAUCAGCUUGUUGGUGGGGUAGUGGCUUACCAAGGCUUUGACGGGUAGCCGGCCUGAGAGGGUGACCGGCCACAUUGGGACUGAGAUACGGCCCAGACUCCUACGGGAGGCAGCAGUGGGGAAUAUUGCACAAUGGGCGGAAGCCUGAUGCAGCAACGCCGCGUGCGGGAGGACGGCCUUCGGGUUGUAAACCGCUUUCGCCUGUGACGAAGCGUGAGUGACGGUAAUGGGUAAAGAAGCACCGGCUAACUACGUG